GCCACUGGCAAUCAGCUGAAGAAGCUGGGGUAGGUUGGUGGACAGAAGGGGGGCCCUAAAAGCUGGUCCCCAGCAGCUGCAGGAAUGAAAGAUCCAGGGGUUCUAGAGCCCCAGCAAGAGGCCGUGGGUGAUACAAUCUGGGGAACUGGAGGGGAAAGACUGAACUCACAUCAAGGCACAAGAGGGCCCCAGAGUUAGGAAGGGGCUUAGAGCAACAGAGUCCCAUCUCAGUGCUGGACCUGAGAUGCAGGUGGAUAUGACUUUGUGCUCAUGUGGACCUGACCAGGCUGUUGAAGCUGAAGGCAGAAAGGACCAGAGCUUGGGUUGGGACUAAGCUGCUCCCGUGGUUGGGGACAAGCAGCAUUGGGAAAGACUGA